rnacentral:misc_RNA from 1 species
ACAAACUUGGUCAUUUAGAGGAAGUAAAAGUCGUAACAAGGUCUCCGUAGGUGAACCUGCGGAGGGAUCAUUACCGAGUUAGGGUCCUCUGGGCCCGAACCUCCCAACCCUUUGUUUACUCAACCACUCGUUGCUUCGGCGGGACCGUCCUCUCCGGGGGACCGCCGGGGGGCCGUCAAACGUCCUCUGGCCCGCGCCCGUCGAUAGCCCAACUCAACCAAAUUCUUAACUAAACGUGUUAAUUGUCUGAGUACUUUGAUUACAAAAAUCAUAAGCAAAACUUUCAACAACGGAUCUCUUGGUUCUGGCAUCGAUGAAGAACGCAGC